rnacentral:lncRNA from 1 species
CCGGUAAGGACCAGCUCCACGCAUCACUGAACUGCACUUGCGAAAAGACUGUUGGAGCCCAUCAAGUAGCCACUGCAGUGGUGGCUUGACCACGAGACAGGCGAGGCCCAAAGGACACCUGAAGGGGUGCAUCAGAGGAUGCUGCCCCACUCCUCGCUGCCCCCCAACACCAGACCUGCCAAUUACAACUGGAGUCCCUGGGAAUCCAGACAACCAGCCAGGCCCUGCCUUCCUGCAGCAGUCUCUCAGGGUAACCCCGACUGCAGCUUCUUCCACGCGGUUUGUGGUUUUCUUAGGAAAUACAGCGUUGUAGCCAAUCUCUUAGAGCGCCGAGUCACGCAAGGACUCACUCUUCCUUCAAAGCGACUUUUGUCUAUUGGUGAGGGAUUCUCCUAGAAGGAGGGAGCUCAGACCAAAGUUAGCGGGCAGACCCUUCCUGACAGAGUCACUCUGAUCACUACACUUUGUGAAAGACCUUUCUCUUCCCGGGGACUGAGG